UACGUAGGGUGCAAGCGUUAAUCGGAAUUACUGGGCGUAAAGCGUGCGCAGGCGGUGAUGUAAGACAGAUGUGAAAUCCCACGGCUCACCCGUGGAACUGCUGGGCAUACUGGGCGUCUUGGGCCAACUAGGGGCAGCCGGAACAAGCGGUGGAGCGGUGAAAUGCGUAGAGAUUAGGAAGAACACCAGUGGCGAAGGCGACUUACUGGACUGUAACUGACGCUGAGGCAUGAAAGCGUGGGGAGCAAACAGG
rnacentral:rRNA from 1 species